GAGUUUGAUUCUGGCUCAGAUUGAACGCUGGCGGCAUGCUUUACACAUGCAAGUCGGACGGCAGCACAAAGAAGCUUGCUUCUUGGGUGGCGAGUGGCGAACGGGUGAGUAAUGCAUCGGAACGUACCGAGUAGUGGGGGAUAACUGUCCGAAAGGAUGGCUAAUACCGCAUACGCUUUGAGAAGGAAAGCGGGGGAUCUUCGGACCUCGCGCUAUUCGAGCGGCCGAUGUCUGAUUAGCUGGUUGGUGGGGUAAAGGCCUACCAAGGCGACGAUCAGUAGCGGGUCUGAGAGGAUGAUCCGCCACACUGGGACUGAGACACGGCCCAGACUCCUACGGGAGGCAGCAGUGGGGAAUUUUGGACAAUGGGCGCAAGCCUGAUCCAGCCAUGCCGCGUGUCUGAAGAAGGCCUUCGGGUUGUAAAGGACUUUUGUCAGGGAAGAAAAGCUUGAGGCUAAUACCCUUGAGUGAUGACGNAC
rnacentral:rRNA from 1 species